rnacentral:rRNA from 1 species
GGGCUUGUAAGUCAGUGGUGAAAUGCUGUGGCUUAACCAUAGAAUUGCCAUUGAAACUGCAAGUCUUGAGUACAGUUGAGGUGGNCGGAAUGAGUAAUGUACCGGUGAAAUGCAUAGAUAUUACUCAGAAUUCCGAUUGCGUAGGCAGCUUGCUAAACUGUAACUGACGCUGAUGCACGAAAGCGUGGGGAGCGAACAGGAUUAGAUACCCUGGUAGUCCACGCUGUAAACGAUGAGCACUGGUUGUUGGCAAUACACCGUCAGCGACUGAGCGAAAGUAUUAAGUGCUCCACCUGGGGAGUACGUCGGCAACGAUGAAACUCAAAGGAAUUGACGGGGGCCCGCACAAGCGGAGGAACAUGUGGUUUAAUUCGAUGAUACGUGAGGAACCUUACCUGGGCUUAAAUGUAGAGUGCAUUGUUUGGAAACAAACAUUUUCUUCGGAACUCUUUACAAGGUGCUGCAUGGUUGUCGUCAGCUCGUGCCGUGAGGUGUCGGGUUAAGUCCCAUAACGAGCGCAACCCCUAUUGUUAGUUACCAGCACGUAAUGGUGGGGACUCUAGCAAGACUGCCGGUGUAAACCGUGAGGAAGGUGGGGAUGACGUCAAAUCAGCACGGCCCUUAUGUCCAGGGCUACACACGUGUUACAAUGGCAAGUACAAAGAGCAGCCACCUGGCGACAGGGCGCUAAUCUCAAAAGCUUGCCUCAGUUCGGAUCGAAGUCUGCAACUCGACUUCGUGAAGGUGGAUUCGCUAGUAAUCGCGCAUCAGCCAUGGCGCGGUGAAUACGUUCCCGGGCCUUGUACACACCGCCCGUCAAGCCAUGGAAGCUGGGGGUACCUGAAGUCCGUAAC